UGCCGCUCGGCAAAAAUUAACCGAAAAAGAGGCAUGGGUUAGUAGCAAGUCGAAAACUCGUGAGGUUUAGUAAGAG
rnacentral:ncRNA from 1 species